ACCUGGUUGAUCCUGCCAGUAGUCAUACACUUGUCUUAAAGAUUAAGCCAUGCAUGUCUAAGUGCUUUGAUUGUCUAACAUUAGACUGCAGACGGCUCAUUAUAACAGUUAUUGUAUACUUGAUAUUACCUUAUAGGUGGAUACCUGUGGAAAUUCUAGAGCUAAUACAUGUCAUAAAUAAUAUAUCUUUAAGAUAUAUUUGGCUUUUAUUUUUUUCAAAUCAAAGUGUUUCUACACUAUGGGUGAUUCAUAAUAAUGCUUGGAGAUCGCUUUAUAAGUGACAAUUCAUUCAAGUUUCUGACCUAUCAGUUAGUCAGUAGUGUAUUGGACUAUUGAGGCAUUGACGGGUAACAGAGAAUUAGGGUUCUGUUCCGGAGAGGGAGCCUGAGAAACAGCUACUACAUCUAAGGAAGGCAGCAGGCGCGUAAAUUACCCAAUUCUGAUUAAGAGAGGUAGUGACAAGAAAUCACAAUAUUUUGCCCUAGGGUUAAAUAAUUGUAUUGAGAACAGAGUAGAUAUAUUAUCGAUAAACUAUUGGAGGGCAAGUCUGGUGCCAGCAGCCGCGGUAAUUCCAGCUCCAAUGGUCCAUGCUAACAUUGUUGCAGUUAAAAAGCUCGUAGUCGAAUUUUUAAAAGAAUCAAUUUCGUGUGGUCUUAAUGAACUACAAAGGAAGAUGAUUUAUCUUAUUUUGCGCUUAUACACCGUUGGAAUUCGUUUUCUGACAGUGAAUUAAGUGUGUAUUUACUUUGAGAAAAUUAGAGUGUUCUAAGCAGUCUUACGGCUUUAUCCUAAAGCAUGGAAUGAUAAGUAAUGACAUCGGUUAAUUUCUGUUGGUUUGAGAGGUUGAUGUAAUGAUUUAUAGAGUUAGUCGGAGGUAUUAGUAUUUUGUCGUUAGAGGUGAAAUUCCGGGAUCGACAAAAGACUAACAACUGCGAAGGCAUUUACCUAGGAUUUGCUCCUUGAUCAAGAACGUAAGUUGGGGGAUCGAAGACGAUCAGAUACCGUCGUAGUCUCAACUUUAAACUAUAUCAGCUAGGGGUUGGCAAAUGUUUAUAUGACUUUGUUAGAACCUUAAGAGAAAUCAAAGCGUUUGGGUUCCGGGGGGAGUAUGGUCGCAAGGCUGAAACUUAAA
rnacentral:rRNA from 1 species